UGGGGAAUUUUGGACAAUGGGGGAAACCCUGAUCCAGCCAUCCCGCGUGUGCGAUGAAGGCCUUCGGGUUGUAAAGCACUUUUGGCAGGAAAGAAACGUCGCGGGUUAAUACCCCGCGAAACUGACGGUACCUGCAGAAUAAGCACCGGCUAACUACGUGCCAGCAGCCGCGGUAAUACGUAGGGUGCAAGCGUUAAUCGGAAUUACUGGGCGUAAAGCGUGCGCAGGCGGUUCGGAAAGAAAGAUGUGAAAUCCCAGAGCUUAACUUUGGAACUGCAUUUUUAACUACCGGGCUAGAGUGUGUCAGAGGGAGGUGGAAUUCCGCGUGUAGCAGUGAAAUGCGUAGAUAUGCGGAGGAACACCGAUGGCGAAGGCAGCCUCCUGGGAUAACACUGACGCUCAUGCACGAAAGCGUGGGGAGCAAACAGGAUUAGAUACCCUGGUAGUCCACGCCCUAAAACGAUGUCAACUAGCUGUUGGGGGCCUUCGGGCCUUGGUAGCGCAGCUAACGCGUGAAGUUGACCGCCUGGGGAGUACGGUCGCAAGAUUAAAAACUCAAAAUGAAUUGAC
rnacentral:rRNA from 1 species